rnacentral:rRNA from 1 species
AUUGAACGCUGGCGGCAGGCCUAACACAUGCAAGUCGAGCGGAUGAAGGGAGCUUGCUCCUGGAUUCAGCGGCGGACGGGUGAGUAAUGCCUAGGAAUCUGCCUGGUAGUGGGGGAUAACGUCUGGAAACGGGCGCUAAUACCGCAUACGUCCUGAGGGAGAAAGUGGGGGAUGUUCGGACCUCACGCUAUCAGAUGAGCCUAGGUCGGAUUAGCUAGUUGGUGGGGUAAAGGCCUACCAAGGCGACGAUCCGUAACUGGUCUGAGAGGAUGAUCAGUCACACGGGAACUGAGACACGGUCCAGACUCCUACGGGAGGCAGCAGUGUGGAAUAUUGGACAAUGGGCGAAAGCCUGAUCCAGCCAUGCCGCGUGUGUGAAGAAGGUCUUCGGAUUGUAAAGCACUUUAAGUUGGGAGGAAGGGCAGUAAGUUAAUACCUUGCUGUUUUGACGGUACCAACAGAAUAAGCACCGGCUAACUUCGUG